UUUCUUUAAGAUUUAUUCCAAAUUUUCCAUUCAACUUUCUUUCAAAAUUUUUGUAAAUUCACUAUUCAAUUUUUAAUAUAUCCAUAACUAUUAUUAUUUUAUUUUAUUGUAUUUUCAAAAACUGGGGUGUUACAUGUGAUAAUGAAGAUGCUGCAUACUGGGUUGUGUUGGGCUUGGCUAAUCCCAUGGUUUAGCUAUGUCAUGACUAAAUUUUGUUCAUAUCGCAGAAUAUGCAUACACAUUGAAGGUG
rnacentral:misc_RNA from 1 species